rnacentral:lncRNA from 1 species
AAAAAAAAAAAAGUAUAUGUUCCUCAUCAUUGUCUUCAGUGCUUUUCCAAGUAUUUUAAAAUAUCAGAGUACAUAUUUCAUAUUUCAUUAUCACUCAGCAGCAUGAGAAUAAUAGCCUUCAUAUAGCAUACAUAGCUAAAACUCAAACAUUCAUUUCUGUCCUUAAUUUCAACAUUUAACUCCCAUCUGUUCUUCUCCCUUUUUUCUUUCAUUUCCCUGUUUCUGUUUUUCCUCAUGCUCUGACAUUAAAGUGGUUGCGCUGAAAAGACUGCCCUUUUUGAGGAACAGACCGAAGGAUAAAGACAAAAUGAAGGCCUGCUACCGUCGUUCCAUGUCCAUGAAUGACCUGGUGCAGUCCAUGGUCCUAGCAGGACAGUGGACAGGUAGUACUGAGAAUUUGGAGGUUCCUGAUGAUAUUUCAAUGGGUAAAAGGAGAAAAGAAUUGGGAGCUAUGGCCUUCUCUACUACAGCCAUCAACUUUUCAACUGUCAACUCUUCUGCAGGCUUCAGAUCCAAGCAGUUGGUUAAUAAUAAAGAUACUACGUCCUUUGAAGACAUAAGUCCACAAGGUGUUAGUGAUGAUUCUAGUACGGGAUCAAGAGUUCAUGCUUCAAGACCAGCCAGCCUUGAUAGUGGCAGAACAUCCACUAGCAAUAGCAAUAAUAAUGCUUCACUACAUGAAGUCAAAGCAGGUGAGCAGUUAAUAACCAAAGCAGGCCAGCAAAGCCACAGCAGUGGAGAAUUUAGCCUGCUUCAUGACCAUGAGGCUUGGUCCAGCAGUGGUAGCAGUCCAAUCCAGUACUUGAAAAGACAGACCAGAUCAAGUCCAGUGCUCCAACACAAAAUAUCUGAAACACUGGAGAGUCGACAUCACAAAAUCAAAACUGGUUCCCCUGGAAGUGAAGUUGUUACUCUACAACAGUUUUUGGAAGAAAGCAAUAAGCUUACCUCAAUACAGAUAAAGUCCUCAAGUCAAGAAAAUCUUUUAGAUGAAGUAAUGAAAAGUCUGUCUGUUUCUUCUGACUUUUUGGGAAAAGACAAACCAGUUAGCUGUGGUCUGGCCAGUUCUGCAGGAAAACCUACACCAGGCACUCAAGGAAAGAUAAAAUUAGUAAAAGAAUCUUCUCUGUCACGACAAUCAAAAGAUAGUAACCCUUAUGCCACUUUACCUCGUGCAAGCAGCGUGAUCUCAACUGCUGAAGGAACUACAAGAAGGACAAGCAUCCAUGAUUUUUUGACCAAGGACAGUAGACUGCCUAUAUCAGUUGAUUCAUCACCAGCUGCUGCUGACAGCAACACCACUGCAGCAUCUAAUGUGGACAAAGUACAAGAAAGCAGAAAUUCAAAAAGCAGGUCUAGGGAGCAACAAAGCUCCUAAUUCUGUUACCCACUACAUGACAUGUGGGCCAAGUGGUGAGUUUCCUGCUUAAAAUGUAAAUGAGAUUAGUCUCAUUUAUACAAACUAACCAAAUUAAGUGUGAAACAAGAGCACAUUGCAUUAACAGAUGUAAAUAUUGCUUGCUUGACUCAUUGACUUUCUGUUCUACUUACUAGUGAAGCAAGAUUAGUUGGCUGCCAUAGGUUUUUACUUGUCAGCGCAAGGAACAAGUUUUUUUGUUUUUAAGUUUUUUUCUCACUUUAAAUUUAAUUUUACUAGUGAAUUAUGUUCUAGGAAUUACUUUUUUAGUUUGAAGCCUUUUGUGGUAGGAAUACAACUUCCCCACAGUUUUCUUGAAAAUUAAUGAGAAUAAACUAAAUGCCUAUUCUAUGAUGAGCCACUCAAAAAUUAUCUCUGAUUUUCUGUCAUUCUCAUUCUUAUAGAAAUAUCUGGUGCAUGCUGUUCUUAUAGUGGCUGCUCUGCAUUUUGUAUCUCUCUUCACGCUUUUCUUGUAUUUUCUUUCUUCUUUCUGCCUUCCAACUAAAUACAGAGAGAAAAGUGUCCUUCAGUUUCUCAGUAUGAAGCCUUUAUUUCUGAAGUAACAAGACACCUAGCAACUAUAGGAAUCAUGUUUUACAAUCUUUAAGGAGACUUUUAACAGUCCUUCGUGAAUAGAGCAGGCAAGAAAUACACACCUUCAUGCCUUGAAUCAAGGAGCACUACUGGAUUCAACUGCCAAAAUUCUUUAAAGGUUUUAGGACUUACUAUACCUUGUACUGUUAAGAUCUACUGAAAAAAGGACGUUCUCUCGCUAAGGACCAAGUGUUUUAAGGUGAAGUGUUUAAAGAAGUACUCCAAGAACAAUCUGCUUUUUUCAUCAUUUGUUUUAUGAAUUUAUCCAUGUUUGCUUAAUGCUUCUGCUAAGUGUUAGCCAAAAUCUAGCCAUUUAUAUUUAGUUGUGUAAACCUAAAUUAAAUGCUGUAGUAUUUUGCGGAAUGUACUAUAUAGCAAUAUACAGAGAAAGUUGUUUUGGCAUGUCAGAGCCUUAUUUGGUUAGCAGACUGCAUGUGUUGGUACUUUUUUUUUCUUAAAGCCAAUUAUUUUGAUGCAAAAGAAAUUCAGUUUAUAAGAUAAAUCUGAAAAAUCCAUAAUGAAAUAGGAGUUAUAAAAAAUUUAUAGUGAUAUUAAUCUUUACAUAUUUCCCAUUAAGCAACACUAAGCAUACAUGCGUUAAUCCACGGUAAAGAGUGUUUUUCUGAAACUUUUUUUAGUAAGAUGGUUUUCCAGCAAAUGGCAUUCCCAAGAUAAAGCUGUUGUGCUUUAACUCAUUUCUUUUCUUUGGUAUUGGGUUAUGUAUGUGUGUGUAUUUUUUUAACUUGAGAGCUGACUGUUGCUUAAGAAGUUUUCUAAUGGCAAAAAGAAUGUAAAUAACUUACUAUGAUCUGCAUUUUGCCAGAAACUCAUUUAUAAUUAAGGCUAUCAUUUAUUAAUGACUUUUUUUCUCCUUUAUAAUAUUACAUUAAAGUUGAUAAUUGUUAUUGGUACUUUUGAAAUAUUUGUAUGCAUUUGUUACCUUUAAACAUUUGGAAGAAGCACAAAAAAAUAGAUUUAGUUAACCCAGGAAACAUCAAUUUUUUUAGUAGUUCCAAUUUUAUAUCACAGUUUUAUUUUCUUAUGAAAUCAAAAAAUGCAUUGAUACUCAUUAAUGCAAAUUCAUUAUUUAACAUCAAUAUCAGAGUAAUCUUCAAGGUCUGAAAUGAGAAAGAUACUGACUUUUUAAAAUUUUAACAGUGUACUUCUUAGGCUUUCAUUACCAGCUCUAAAGAACUUUUUGGAAUAAUUCCAUAUUCCGUAGUGUGUGGUUUAUGAGUUGUGGGUUUCAUCACUAACCCAGUAACCAUGAGAAAAGUCUCUCUCCCUCUGUCUCUCUUUCUCUCUCUCUUUCGUAGGCCAGUAGCAAUGUUGUGUUCACAGUUUGCUUUCCAAAAGACCAUGAAUAAAAAAGAGAGCAUGUUUCAAUUGAAAUGGAACUUAAGAGAACUUGAACUUACUUACAUACUUCAAUGCCACUUAUAACUUAGGUUUUACCACCAAAUGCUGUUAACAUUAAAUCAUUUUGAAACUCUUGGAUGAAAGGUGCUAUGUAAAUGUAAAUACAAAGGAUUCUUACUAACAUACAAAUAAUGCACAACAGAAAUAUUUAAAACCUAUUCUGUAGUCUUUGAAACAUCUCUCUCUGUCAUAACUCCCUGGAUUCAAGUAGCACAUUGGUAAUAGGUGUCAGAGCAGUCUAGAGACACUUGCAUGUCAAAAAAUGUACAUUCAUUUUUAGGUGGAUAAAAGUAAACAUAGAAAUUAUGUUAUGGCUAAAUACAGUAAGUGGGUAACUUAGAUUUAUAUUAGCUAGCAUCUAAUUUGCACAACUAGAACAUAUCCCAGAACAAUUACUGAAAAGCUGAAAUUUAAUGAGUGGUGAGGUAGCCCAAUGAGGGCGAAUGACAUCACAGCUUGACCUCUCCAGAACACUAAUAUCUUAAAAUAGAGAAUAUGCUGCGUUAAGUGCAUUAGUGCUUCAAGCAGAAAAUGCUGAAAAACAGCCUGUAAAGUACUGAAUCUGAGUAGGCUGACCCUGAGAAGGGACAGUUAAAGAGACAACCAAGGGAACACAUUGAGACUACAAAAAUAUGAAUAAUCUCAAUUAUAUUCAUCACACUUUUUUCAUACCAUUUCAAGAAAGGACUAGAUAAGAGUAACCACAUGAAUAUUUUACUUUCUCCAGUAUACCUUGAGAAGCAAACUUUGUAGGAAGCCACUCUUCUCCCUUAAACUUCUGCCAAACAAUAAUAAAGUCAACUGGAAACUAAUUGGAGCCGUUUUAACUGGGGCCUGACAUGCUUUAAAUUAUCUGGCUCUAUUCUAAAUCAACACCUAAACCCCCAAGGAAACUGCAGAAUCAAUAUACAGGGUAAUAGCUUUGGUUCAGAGCUCCAAUAGUGUGCUUCAGAUCUGUCCAUGUGGAAACGCUUUUGUCCAAAUUUUUUAAUUGGUGGUUACCAAAGAGUUCACAAAACAGGUUUUUUUUGUUUUUGUUUUUUUGAGACGGAGUCUCGCUCUGUCGCCCAGGCUGGAGUGCAGUGGCCGGAUCUCAGCUCACUGCAAGCUCCGCCUCCCGGGUUUACGCCAUUCUCCUGCCUCAGCCUCCCGAGUAGCUGGGACUACAGGCGGCCGCCACCUCGCCCGGCUAGUUUUUUGUAUUUUUUAGUAGAGACGGGGUUUCACCGUGUUAGCCAGGAUGGUCUCGAUCUCCUGACCUCGUGAUCCGCCCGUCUCGGCCUCCCAAAGUGCUGGGAUUACAGGCUUGAGCCACCGCGCCCGGCCUCACAAAACAGGUUUGUAUGUAGCACCUUUCAUGCAAGGCAUGCUAAAAGCCUAUUUUAAAAUCACUGUGCAUAUUAUAGAAUUGUAGCCACCUCCCAAUGAAGUACUACAGCCUGUGCUGUCUUAAUGGUUUGUGUCAGGAAAUGAAAAAGAUACUGUACCAAAUCUGGAAUUACAAUGGGGAGUAAUAAUGUAUGCUAAAUGACUUUUGUAUUUUAAGUUACUUUUUGUGAGUGGUGAAUUUUGUGUUUUCUUUUCAGCUAUACUUAGUCCUGAGAUGUAUUUUUUCUUUAAGUCUUGAAUGAAUACAAAAGGAGCCCAUUUUAUAAUAUAAACCUUGAUGUACAUGUUGAGAUAUCUGGACAAUGAAAAUGCCUUAAAAGGAAUGCAUAUGGAUAAAGUUGCACUUAUAACACCCUUCAACAAAAUCUGAUUUUAAAUUGUCUUUUCUUUUCUAUUAAGGGUUUUCUUUUCAGUGUCUACCAUUGUACUUAUAACUGUUAUUAAAUACCAAAUCAAAUAAUAUAAAAGCUGUAACAUUUCCUUUAAAACUAAUGCUAAUAAGGGAUUUAGAAUUGAAUGGCAAAAUGUUUAUUACUUGGCAAUACCUGAUGUCAGUCACAGGCAUCCAACUCAUGACAAGAGAUACCACUGUUUGUUUUUUAAAAAACAUUUUUCAUUUUGGUACUCCUUCAAAAAUUAAGUUGGACUAACAUUCACAUAUCCAACUAAUAUAAAAGAAAUAAAACCAAGAGGUGAUUUUUGUAACAAAUGGUUAGUAAUCAUUUAAAAAUGAUAUCAUUUUAGCCAAGUGUUAUUUUAUUUCUUUCCGUUUUCCCUAGAGAACUAUUGUCAGACAUAACCGAUGACCUUGUUUAGUUGAUUCUGUCAUAACAUUUUAUGAUAAGUGUUAGGGGUUUGGAAAGAGCGUCUGUCAGUUUUGUCAGUCCCAAAAUAGGUUUAAAUGUGAUCUAAUAGAUUGCACAAAUGAAUCUCUCAUUUUCACUUAGACUUUAGGAGACAAAGCAACUGGCUUCAUCCUUGGGCAAGUCAGUUUUUCUGGGCCUGUUUUAACCAUAAAGUGGAGAGGGCAAUUAGACCAAACACCUAAGGUACUUAAUUUAUGUGUAUUCAUUAGUACCUUCAUUUCAUAUGCAGAGCAACCUAAAACAGC